AAUAGUGAGAGCCCAGGGACACCCCGAACAGGAGUGGUGGGACUGCUCUUGCUGCUUCAGGCGUGAAGAAUCCUUUAUUGUGAUACAAUGUAUGUUUGGUGGCAUAUUUUUAUGGGAAUCUUGGGUUUCUGACGCUUUUGUCCUCCUUUGUUAAUUUUACCACGAUCCAAAACUGGCUAUAGUGGAAGAAAAGGUUUAUUAUCCAUUGGCGGGGGGGGGGGGGAGACGGGGAAUUGUGGCACAUCAUCCUGGGAAUGUGGCACCGUGUAUUACCUGGGCGUUUUCCCAGGGGUGGCCCCCUGCCGAAAGCCCCAGGUCCCCUGGCCCUGCAUAUCCCUCCCCAAUUGCGUCCCAGAUGGGGUUAACCCAGAAGAACUCCAUACCCCGCGAGACAGCACCGCCCAGGACAACAUUGCGUCCCAUCUCCAUCUAAACCCCCUGCAAAGAGUUUGUUUCCACCACUCUUUAGAGGAGAAAGAUCUCUAUUUGUACUGCCAACACUUUUGGUUCCACUGGGAAGGAGAAACCUGGGAGCAAUGGCUCGAGUGGACCACUGAUGAGAAGGUAAAUGGGGAGGUUUUCAACAUUACAGAAGAGUUCAACAUGCCAUCAGAGUCAGUGCUUCACAUUGACAGCUGGAAUCGGGAUGUGGUUGUGGUAUUGGUACCCGGACAGUGUAGGGUUUAACCCAGUCCCCGUAGUUCCAAAUGUUGGUAUAUUACUUAUAUCACCCACUCAUCCACACACACAUCCCACCAGUGUGGGGAGGUAAAUAUUACGUGUCCCGAACAAUUUCCAGCAUCCCUUCUAAAUUGUAGCCUCCUUUGCUUAGCCCCCAGUCUUCAGGGAAUCGUCUUAGGAAAGCACCUCCACGUCUUCCUCCCCACCAGCGGUGGUGGAAAAUUUUACCAGCCACCAAAUGGGAGGCAGAUACUCAAUGCUGGAUCCUCCUCAAUGCUACCUUGGGGGCUUUAGACAUUACUUGCCUCUGAAGCGUUUCAGAUCCCAGCCUUCCUUCCCAAUUGUACCAGGGGGGCCAACCUCCAACUUGUGCUCCUUACGCAGGCCUUGUCCCCCCAGAAAAAGCAGACCUUGGUGAGCUCCUUGUGGGAUGGGGCCAAUUCGGCAGCUAGCAUUUAGAAUAUUCAGCAAGGGGCCAUGAGAGACGAGUGGUUGGGACAGUUGGAAAAGGCCAUGGGGCUGGUCACAUGUGCAGAUCUCACCCACCUUACAGUGACCAUUUCCGCCCUCGAACAUAUUGCUGAAUUGGCCCUUCACACGCGAGACGCCUUACGGGGACUGAUUGAGGCCAUAAUUGAGGCUGGGGACCAACUAGCUUGGGAUUCUGUGUGCUCCCAGCACCAACAAUAUUUGACCGAGCAAGUCCGUAGCAUCUAGGAGGGAUGUGCUCCAUGGAGCAUGGCCCAGGGAAAUCCAUUUCCACUCAGGGAUUCCCAGGGAGUGUUGGCCUUUUCACUAUUCCUGGAAGCUCACUAACUGAAAGUGCACAGGCAUGGCCUGCACCUUCAUGGCCUUUGGCCCAUGAAAGGAGUGUGGGCCAGUGCCUCUGGGUGGUCCAUCGCGACGUGGGAAGUGUCUCCCCACCCCAUGACAUGGCUAAGAGGUAUGUGCUGACUGCAUCCCCUGACUAUCACCACAUAUGGAUUGUAGAGGGCAACACCUGGCAGCUAUGGCCUAUGGAGCUCCCUCAAAUAAUCUGUAAAGAAAGGGCAAUGCCAGGGCGCUUUUAUGAGGUGGGUAAACACAUCUGAUGAGAAGGAGAGGCAUCGGGAUACACCUCCACUAAAACACAUUUCUUUACCAAUACCUCUGCUUGUGUUUGGAGGACCACUACCCCAGAGUACCCCUCAACUUGCUGUUACAAUCUCAAGCGCAAAAUUUUUCAGUGCAUUGGCCUGCUCUUAUUCAAAGUAUUGUAAAUAUUUCUAACUAUAUUGUGUUUAAUUUUUCAUGGAUUACACCCAAUGUUUUUCUUCCAUUAUCGCACACCUGGGAGCAAUUUACCCUGUUCCAAACAGAUGCCUCCUCCUUUACAAUGUUACAGCACACAUUCAACCUGGAGAAAGCUGCCUUUGCCACAGCCAUUCAGAGCCACCUGUGUCAAACCCAUUUGUGAUAAUUUGAGACACUACAAUCUACUGGUGUUUCCUAUUCAACUCAGUGAGUAAGCAAUGGAAAACAUGGUGGCAAAUGGUCAGGUCAAAGCUCUGCCCAGAUAGAUGCCUAUAUUACUGAGAUAUGUGAGGGGACAGCUGGGGCAGUGGAGACUUCCUGCAGAGGCUGCAGCAGCACUAAGAUAUCUGGAGGUAGGUUUGCCUUUUUCCUGCUCCUCCCUCUACUCCUGGGUGUGGGAAGAGGGGGAGUAACUCCUCUCAAUCCCACCCCUCCCCAUGCACCCAAAAUGAGAGAGGAAUAGGCAGUGUGGUAGGAGCACUUGUGACCUGCCCCCCUCAUCUCAGAAACCAGGAGCAGUUUGUAAGUCCAGGGAGAAAUAGUUCCCAGAAUGGGAAAGAGGUGUAGGGAGAAGCACUGGUGACUCUGCCCCCAUUGCAAUCUGGAGAUGCCUUAGGAAUUGAUAUGGGGAACAACCCUAACCAAAAAAAAUGGGUGUUUCUGAGGGAGAGGGAUGGCGCCAGGAGGAACACACUGCAAUGUCCCCAAUGGCCCAGUUAUUAAAUGCAACCCUGCAACAGCUCUACCAGGCUCCCCUCCUGCUAAUCUUUGUAUCAGUCUCAGAUAGAGUAGAGGAGACCCAGCUUGUGAGUCCCACCUAUACCAACCCAGCACUCCACCGCUCCCGGCAAUGCGAAUAACUUGCUAUGGGAAAAGCCCUGGAUGUCAAGGGCACAUAG